rnacentral:rRNA from 1 species
UACGAAGGGGGGCUAGCGUUGCUCGGAAUCACUGGGCGUAAAGCGCACGUAGGCGGAUUGCUAAGUCAGGGGUGAAAUCCUGGAGCUCAACUCCAGAACUGCCUUUGAUACUGGCGAUCUUGAGUCCGGGAGAGGUGAGUGGAACUGCGAGUGUAGAGGUGAAAUUCGUAGAUAUUAGGAAGAACACCAGUGGCGAAGGCGGCUCACUGGUCCGGUACUGACGCUGAGGUGCGAAAGCGUGGGGAGCGAACAGG